rnacentral:rRNA from 1 species
GUGCUAUACAUGCAGUCGAACGCUUCUUUUCCCACCGGAGCUUGCUCCACCGGGAAAAGAGGAGUGGCGAACGGGUGAGUAACACGUGGGUAACCUGCCCAUCAGAAGGGGAUAACACUUGGAAACAGGUGCUAAUACCGUAUAACAAUCGAAACCGCAUGGUUUCGUUUUGAAAGGCGCUUUACGGUGCCGCUGAUGGAUGGACCCGCGGUGCAUUAGCUAGUUGGUGAGGUAACGGCUCACCAAGGCCACGAUGCAUAGCCGACCUGAGAGGGUGAUCGGCCACAUUGGGACUGAGACACGGCCCAAACUCCUACGGGAGGCAGCAGUAGGGAAUCUUCGGCAAUGGACGAAAGUCUGACCGAGCAACGCCGCGUGAGUGAAGAAGGUUUUCGGAUCGUAAAACUCUGUUGUUAGAGAAGAACAAGGGUGAGAGUAACUGUUCACCCCUUGACGGUAUCUAACCAGAAAGCCACGGCUAACUACGUGCCAGCAGCCGCGGUAAUACGUAGGUGGCAAGCGUUGUCCGGAUUUAUUGGGCGUAAAGCGAGCGCAGGCGGUUUCUUAAGUCUGAUGUGAAAGCCCCCGGCUCAACCGGGGAGGGUCAUUGGAAACUGGGAGACUUGAGUGCAGAAGAGGAGAGUGGAAUUCCAUGUGUAGCGGUGAAAUGCGUAGAUAUAUGGAGGAACACCAGUGGCGAAGGCGGCUCUCUGGUCUGUAACUGACGCU